CAGUCGAGCGGUAGAGAGAAGCUUGCUUCUCUUGAGAGCGGCGGACGGGUGAGUAAUGCCUAGGAAUCUGCCUGGUAGUGGGGGAUAACGUCCGGAAACGGACGCUAAUACCGCAUACGUCCUACGGGAGAAAGCAGGGGACCUUCGGGCCUUGCGCUAUCAGAUGAGCCUAGGUCGGAUUAGCUAGUUGGUGAGGUAAUGGCUCACCAAGGCGACGAUCCGUAACUGGUCUGAGAGGAUGAUCAGUCACACUGGAACUGAGACACGGUCCAGACUCCUACGGGAGGCAGCAGUGGGGAAUAUUGGACAAUGGGCGAAAGCCUGAUCCAGCCAUGCCGCGUGUGUGAAGAAGGUCUUCGGAUUGUAAAGCACUUUAAGUUGGGAGGAAGGGUUGUAGAUUAAUACUCUGCAAUUUUGACGUUACCGACAGAAUAAGCACCGGCUAACUCUGUGCCAGCAGCCGCGGUAAUACAGAGGGUGCAAGCGUUAAUCGGAAUUACUGGGCGUAAAGCGCGCGUAGGUGGUUUGUUAAGUUGGAUGUGAAAGCCCCGGGCUCAACCUGGGAACUGCAUUCAAAACUGACAAGCUAGAGUAUGGUAGAGGGUGGUGGAAUUUCCUGUGUAGCGGUGAAAUGCGUAGAUAUAGGAAGGAACACCAGUGGCGAAGGCGACCACCUGGACUGAUACUGACACUGAGGUGCGAAAGCGUGGGGAGCAAACAGGAUUAGAUACCCUGGUAGUCCACGCCGUAAACGAUGUCAACUAGCCGUUGGGAACCUUGAGUUCUUAGUGGCGCAGCUAACGCAUUAAGUUGACCGCCUGGGGAGUACGGCCGCAAGGUUAAAACUCAAAUGAAUUGACGGGGGCCCGCACAAGCGGUGGAGCAUGUGGUUUAAUUCGAAGCAACGCGAAGAACCUUACCAGGCCUUGACAUCCAAUGAACUUUCCAGAGAUGGAUUGGUGCCUUCGGGAGCAUUGAGACAGGUGCUGCAUGGCUGUCGUCAGCUCGUGUC
rnacentral:rRNA from 1 species